UCCCCGAUAGUCUAGUGGUGAGGAUAUCUGCUUGUCACUGCGAUUGCAGCAGCUCGCAGGGGACCGGGGUUCAAUUCCCCGUCGAGGAG
rnacentral:tRNA from 1 species